UACGGGGGGGGCAAGCGUUGUUCGGAAUUACUGGGCGUAAAGGGCGCGUAGGCGGCCUUCUAAGUCGGACGUGAAAUCCCUCGGCUUAACCGAGGAACUGCGUCCGAUACUGAAAGGCUUGAAUCCGGGAGAGGGAUGUGGAAUUCCAGGUGUAGCGGUGAAAUGCGCAGAUAUCGGGAGGAACACCAGUAGCGAAGGCGGCACUCUGGGCCGGUACUGACGCUGAGGAGCGAAAGCGUGGGGAGCGAACAGG
rnacentral:rRNA from 1 species